UAGGGAUCAUGCCAUCUGCUGU
rnacentral:miRNA from 1 species